rnacentral:rRNA from 1 species
CACGUAGGGUGCGAGCGUUGUCCGGAAUUAUUGGGCGUAAAGAGCUCGUAGGCGGUUUGUCGCGUCGGCCGUGAAAACCUGCAGCUUAACUGUGGGCUUGCGGUCGAUACGGGCAUCACUGGAGUUCGGCAGGGGAGACUGGAAUUCCUGGUGUAGCGGUGAAAUGCGCAGAUAUCAGGAGGAACACCGGUGGCGAAGGCGGGUCUCUGGGCCGAUACUGACGCUGAGGCGCGAAAGCGUGGGGAGCAAACAGG